AGUUCCGAUCAUGGCUCAGAUUGAACGCUGGCGGGAUGCUUUACAUGCAAGUCAACGGCAGCACGGACUUCGGUCUGGUGGCGAGUGGCGAACGGGUGAGUAAUGUAUCGGAACGUGCCUAUUAGCGGGGGAUAACUACGCGAAAGCGUAGCUAAUACCGCAUACGCCCCUUCGGGGAAAGCGGAGGACCUUCAGGCCUCGCACUAUUAAACGGCCGAUAUCGGAUUAGCUAGUUGGUGGGGUAACGGCUCACCGAGGCGACGAUCCGUAGCUGGUUUGGGAGGACGACCAGCCACACUGGGACUGAGACGGCCCAGACUCCUACAGGGAGGCAGCAGUGGGGAAUUUUGGACAAUGGAAACCCUGAUCCAGCCAUCGCGACACCGAUGAAGGCCUUCGGGUUGUAAAGCACUUUUGGCAGGAAAGAAACGGCACGGGAUAAUACCCCACGUGCAACUGACGUACCGCAGAAUAAGCACCGGCUAACUACGUGCCAGCAGCCGCAGUGUACGUAAGUGCAAGCGUUAAUCGGAAUUACUGGGCGUAAAGCGUGCGCAGGCGGUUCGGAAGAAGAUGUGAAAUCCCAGAGCUUAACUUUGGAACUGCAUUUUUUUUUUUUUUUUUUUUUUUUUUUUUUUUUUUUUUUAACUACCGAGCUAGAGUGUCAGAGGGAGGUGGAAUUCCGCGUGUAGCAGUGAAAUGCGUAGAUAUGCGGAGGAACACCGAUGGCGAAGGCAGCCUCUGGGAUAACACUGACGCUCAUGCACGAAAGCGUGGGGAGCAAACAGGAUUAGAUACCCUGGUAGUCCACGCCCUAAACCACGAUGUCAACUAGCUGUUGGGGCCUUCGGGCCUUGGUAGUACAGCUAACGCGUGAAGUUGACCGCCUGGGAAGUACGGUCGCAAGACAAAACUCAAAAGGAAUUGACGGGGACCCGCACAAGCGGUGGAUGAUGUGGAUUAAUUCGGUAGCGCGAAAAACGCACCUACCCUUGACAUGUCUGGAAUCCCGAAGAGAUUUGGGAGUGCUCGCAAAGAAACCGGAACACAGGUGCUGCAUGGCUGUCGUCAGCUCGUGUCGUGAGAUGUUGGGUUAAGUCCCACCAACGAGCGCAGCCCUUGUCAUUAGUUGCGCUACGAAGGCACUCUAAUGAGACUGCCGGUGACAAACCGGAGGGAAGGUGGGGAUGACGUCAAGUCCUCAUGGCCCUUAUGGGUGGGGCUUCACACGUCAUACAAUGGUGCGGGACAAGAGGGUCGCUAACCCGCGAGGGGGCGAAUCCAGAAGCGAUCGUAGUCCGGAUCGCAGUCUGCAACUCAGCUGCGUAGAAGUCGGAAUCCGCUAGUAAUCGCGGAUCAGCAUGUCGCGGUGAAUACGUUCGGGUCUUGUACACACCACCCGUCACACCAUGGGGUGGGUUUUUACCAGAAGUAGUUAGCCUAUAACCGUAAGGAGGGCGAUUACCACGGUAGGAUUCGCCGUGACUGAGGUGAAGUCGUAACAAGAGGUA
rnacentral:rRNA from 1 species